rnacentral:rRNA from 1 species
UACGUAGGGUGCGAGCGUUGUCCGGAAUUAUUGGGCGUAAAGAGCUCGUAGGCGGUUUGUCGCGUCUGCUGUGAAAACCCGAGGCUCAACCUCGGGCCUGCAGUGGGUACGGGCAGACUAGAGUGCGGUAGGGGAGAUUGGAAUUCCUGGUGUAGCGGUGGAAUGCGCAGAUAUCAGGAGGAACACCGAUGGCGAAGGCAGAUCUCUGGGCCGUAACUGACGCUGAGGAGCGAAAGCGUGGGGAGCGAGCAG